UAUGUCUGUGUCAUUUUGGUCUCUUGUGGACAGUUGUCUCAUUGGCAAUCAUCUCACAUCAUUUUUUUUUAUAUAUGAGAAACUUCCAGCUAUUUUAACUGACCUAUCAAAAUUGAGAAGAAAAAAUACCCCUUGAAAUUGCAGUAAUAUGUUUAACUUUUAAAGCAUCUAACAUGCAUUACCAACAUUUAUCACUGAUAAAAAAAAUUACUGUUACCAGGAACAUAUAUAUUGUUAGAUAAACUGUUCCCAGCUGUCACAUUGUAUUGGUCCAAUACAAUGGAUUUUGACAUUAAAAUUGGUGUACAAAAUAUUUUCUACUUUCUCUUUUUUUUUACAUAUAUCUUUUGGUUUUUUAUUCUAGUGUUUAUAUUUAUUUACCAUGCAUAGAGUAUUUUGUCACCUGUCUGGAUUUUUUUAGCUGAUAGCCAAAACCCGGAUUACCCUUAUCCGGUUCCGGAAUCGGAUCCGAUAUUGUAAUUGUCUUCUC
rnacentral:lncRNA from 1 species